rnacentral:rRNA from 1 species
GAUGAACGCUGGCGGCGUGCUUAACACAUGCAAGUCGAACGUGAAGGGCGCAGUAAUGUGCCUGGAAAGUGGCAAACGGGUGAGUAACACGUAGAUACCUGCCUCGCAGUGGGGGAUAACCACGGGAAACUGUGGCUAAUACCGCAUGGUCUUGAUGAUGCGGGAGCAUCGACAAGUAAAGCGUUGAGGUGCUGCGAGAGGGGUCUGCGCCCGAUAGCUAGUUGGUGAGGUAAAGGCUCACCAAGGCGUGGGAUCGGUAGCUGGGUCUGAGAGGACG